GCAGGAGUGGUGGAAUUGGCAGACACGUACGUUUGAGGGGCGUAUGGCAAUAGCCUUGAGGGUUCAAAUCCCUUCUCCUGCA
rnacentral:tRNA from 1 species